rnacentral:lncRNA from 1 species
UUGAUUUAUUUAUGAAGAGUGGUUGUUGGGUGAAGAAGUGGGAGCAGAGAAGAACCAGAGGAUGACGGCGCAGAGGAGAACGAGGAGAGGGAUAAGAUGGACGGCGUUUUGAGCUGAUCUGAGACGAGAGAGGUCUCUCUGGGCAACGUGGGAGAGGGGAUCGUAUGUGGGUAGGUGUUGGUCGGAGUCCAUGUUGUCGGGCGUCAAGGAUAACGAUGUCGAUGUCUUACGCCAAACACUACCACUCCACGACCUCUGCAUAAUAUGUUUCUUGUGCUGGUUGGUUGAUUGGCCGCACCGCAGAGG